rnacentral:sRNA from 1 species
GCUGGGCAUGGUGGCGCAUGUCUGUAAUCCCAGUGACUCAGGAGGCUGAGACAGGAGAAUCGCAAGUUCAAGACCAGCCUCAGUAACUCAGCGAGGCCCCAAGCAAUUUGGUGAGACCCUGUCUCAA